AUACGGAGGGUGCAAGCGUUAAUCGGAAUUACUGGGCGUAAAGCGCGCGUAGGCGGUUUAGUCAGUCAGAUGUGAAAGCCCCGGGCUCAACCUGGGAACUGCAUUUGAUACUGCUGAACUAGAGUAUGGUAGAGGGAAGUGGAAUUCCGGGUGUAGCGGUGAAAUGGGUAGAUAUCCGGAGGAACACCAGUGGCGAAGGCGACUUCCUGGACCAAUACUGACGCUGAGGUGCGAAAGCGUGGGUAGCAAACAGGAUUAGAUACCCUAGUAGUCC
rnacentral:rRNA from 1 species